GACGAACGCUGGCGGCGUGCCUAAUACAUGCAAGUCGAGCGAAGUUUUUCUGGUGCUUGCACUAGAAAAACUUAGCGGCGAACGGGUGAGCAACACGUAAAGAACCUGCCUCAUAGACUGGGACAACUAUUGGAAACGAUAGCUAAUACCGGAUAACAGUAUUUCUCGCAUGAGAGAUAUUUAAAAGUUGGUUAUGCUAACACUAUGAGAUGGCUUUGCGGUGCAUUAGCUAGUUGGUGGGGUAAAGGCCCACCAAGGCGACGAUGCAUAGCCGACCUGAGAGGGUGAUCGGCCACACUGGGACUGAGACACGGCCCAGACUCCUACGGGAGGCAGCAGUAGGGAAUCUUCCGCAAUGGGCGAAAGCCUGACGGAGCAACGCCGCGUGAGUGAAGAAGGAUUUCGGUUCGUAAAGCUCUGUUGUUAGGGAAGAAUGGAUAUGUAGUAACUAUACAUGUAAGAGACGGUACCUAACCAGAAAGCCACGGCUAACUACGUG
rnacentral:rRNA from 1 species